GAUCAUGGCUCAGGAUGAACGCUAGCUACAGGCUUAACACAUGCAAGUCGAGGGGCAGCAUCAUCAAAGCUUGCUUUGAUGGAUGGCGACCGGCGCACGGGUGAGUAACACGUAUCCAACCUGCCGACAACACUGGGAUAGCCUUUCGAAAGAAAGAUUAAUACCGGAUGGCAUAGUUUUCCCGCAUGGGAUAAUUAUUAAAGAAUUUCGGUUGUCGAUGGGGAGUGCGCUCCA
rnacentral:rRNA from 1 species